UGCUGAGGGUAAGCCGUCCUUCGCCUCGAUUUCCCCAACGACAGACUCUCGCAGUGCGAGGGCGUGGUAGGGGUUCUCACCUUUGGAAAGACGGGUUGAGCAGGCUUCGGCCUGCCGAUGCGUCUAAGUCGAGGGUGUUCAGGGUAGGCAGCUCAGACUUGGCGGGAUCGGUUCGAGAUGGGUUGCGGUCGUGGGAUGAGGUUGAUUUAAAGUUGCGGAGGUGCGGGUCUGCAGGGUAGGCAGGAGUGCCAGAGUCGAGCUGAAAGCCUCUCUGGGACGAAUAGGUGAUGGUAUGGGACAUCUGCAGGGUAGGCAGGAUUGUCUUGGUCGAGCUGGUUGUCGUCCGAGUGGUGAAAGGCGAUCGGGGUCGGCUGCAGGGUAGGCAGAAAUGGCUUGGUGGGAUGCUGGACGGAGAGGCGCCGGUCUCCUGCCCGGGUCAUGUCGUGGGAACCUGUGCGAGACGGUUCUGCGGUCUGGUGGUGUGGUCGUGAGUCGAUUUUUAAAAUCCGCCAUACAAAUGAAUUUUGCGGAAAAUCAAAGUUGGCCCGCGAGACGGCUCGGGCGAGCGGCCGGCUGGGAGAGCCCCGGAGGACCUAUAAGAGAGAAACGGCGCCGGGAGGGGCCCAAGGAGAGCUGCAGGGUAGGCAGUCCCAGGUUGGGCGUGGAGGCUCGGUGCUUGUCCUUUUGUUGUUAGCUUUCGAUGUCUGCAUUCACUCGCUCGUCUGGACGGUCGUCCGGCUGGUCAGGCAGAAAGUCACCCUGACACUCGUCAGUCAUGGGCUCAUGCGUUCCGUGGGAGGUCACGUGAUCAAUCACGUGCUUUUAUAAAUAGCUUAUUUAACUGGUGAAAGUGUCUUAGUCAGCAAAAAUAAUUAAUUACAUAUGAUUAUCGAGUUGUUGACGGAUUCUGCGUGUGUGUAAGUGCGGAAAAGUUGAGAAAGGUACGGGAAAUUCAAACCACCCAUUUGGGACGGGCAACGCAGCUUUCCGUAUACCAUCGGAUGCAGAAAAAGCUGAGGACUCCAAAACACCUUUCUUUUUCCCGUACAGCGACGGGUCGAGGCGUGAGGCCGUUUCCCGUAUCGAUGUCGGACUGGUCUAGGGUAGGUAGGAUCAGCUUCUGCCUACCCGGUAGCUGAGCUUCAAAACAACCUGGCGCCCGCCACAGACCUCGCCCGAGGUCGUGAGGUAUAUCAUUCGAAUUGCCUUGGCCUGUUCUAUGUGCCUAGGCACUCUCGUGAAAACCAGUGCGAAAUGGUUUUGCGGUUUGGUGGUCGUGAGCACAUUUUUAAAAUUUCCCAUACAAAUGAAUUUUGCGGAAAAUAAAAAGUGGCCCACGAGCCCGAUCUGGCGUGCGGCCGACUAAAACAUCCUCGGAGGGUAUAUGAGAGGGGAGCAAAGCAGCCCGGCCCGAAAGGGUUGGACAAAGCUGCGGCGCGAACCUCCGUACCUGAUCUUGAUAGCCGACCACUGUGGCUUCCCCGGCGUGCAGGCGUCUUCGGACAAACCCCCGGAAGAGGAAGUUAGUGAUUGGUGACCCCCGUGAAGCGUCUGGAAUAACACGCGUAGCGGGGACCAAGUCCUUCAACCAGCCUGAGGCAUACCACCGAGGCUGCUGGGGGCACUGGGCUCUGUGGAUGGCUGGCCACUGGCUAGUACUGAAACUUAGCACAUCGGGGGAAACCACCCGCUGCUGAAGCCCUCGCGGCAGACGCAGCGGGCGCGGUCCUCCACCAUGGGCUCCUAAGCCACAGCACCCUUCGGGGCUCGCUGCGGCGGACGGUAGCCCUGGAAAACCCAGAGUGGGAAAGCGGAACGCCUUGCGAGGCGCGACUGGCCCUGCCGGAAGCGCUGAGCUUGGUUCAGCCCGGCGAAAGGUGUAAAAACCUCUAGCUGCUGUAACUAGUGAGCUCUCCGGCGCCUUCGGGCGCUGGCGGCCUUCGGGCCGGCACACACGAUAGUACAG
rnacentral:rRNA from 1 species